rnacentral:rRNA from 1 species
GCAUAUCAAUAAGCGGAGGAAAAGAAACCAACAGGGAUUGCCUCAGUAACGGCGAGUGAAGCGGCAAAAGCUCAAAUUUGAAAUCUAGCACCUUCGGUGCUCGAGUUGUAAUUUGAAGAUGGUAACCUUGGGUUUGGCUCUUGUCUAUGUUCCUUGGAACAGGACGUCAUAGAGGGUGAGAAUCCCGUCUGAUGAGAUGCCCAUUCCUAUGUAAGGUGCUAUCGAAGAGUCGAGUUGUUUGGGAAUGCAGCUCUAAGUGGGUGGUAAAUUCCAUCUAAAGCUAAAUAUUGGCGAGAGACCGAUAGCGAACAAGUACAGUGAUGGAAAGAUGAAAAGAACUUUGAAAAGAGAGUGAAAAAGUACGUGAAAUUGUUGAAAGGGAAGGGCAUUACAUCAGACUUGGUGUUUUACGAUUAUCUUCUCUUCUUGAGUUGUGCACUCGUAUUUCACUGGGCCAGCAUCGAUUCGGAUGGCAAGAUAAUGGCAGUUGAAUGUGGCUUCACUUCGGUGGAGUGUUAUAGCUUCUGCUGAUAUUGCCUGUCUGGAUCGAGGGCUGCGUCUUUUGACUAGGAUGCUGGCGUAAUGAUCUAAUGCCGCCCGUCUUGAAACACGGACC